rnacentral:rRNA from 1 species
GACAGAGGAUGCAAGCGUUAUCCGGAAUUAUUGGGCGUAAAGAGCUCGUAGGCGGUUUGUCGCGUCUGCCGUGAAAGUCCGAGGCUCAACUUCGGAUCUGCGGUGGGUACGGGCAGACUAGAGUGAUGUAGGGGAGACUGGAAUUCCUGGUGUAGCGGUGAAAUGCGCAGAUAUCAGGAGGAACACCGAUGGCGAAGGCAGGUCUCUGGGCAUUAACUGGCGCUGAGGAGCGAAAGCAUGGGGAGCGAACAGG